CAGCCGCCACGGGAAUACAGAGGGUGCAAGCGUUAAUCGGAAUUACUGGGCGUAAAGCGCGCGUAGGUGGUUUGUUAAGUUGGAUGUGAAAGCCCCGGGCUCAACCUGGGAACUGCGUCCAAAACUGGCAAGCUAGAGUACGGUAGAGGGUGGUGGAAUUUCCUGUGUAGCGGUGAAAUGCGUAGAUAUAGGAAGGAACACCAGUGGCGAAGGCGACCACCUGGACUGAUACUGACACUGAGGUGCGAAAGCGUGGGGAGCAAGCAGGAUUAGAUACCCGUGUAGUCCCUGUCUCUUAUAC
rnacentral:rRNA from 1 species